CACACGCGCUCUCAUAGACACACUCUCUCAUAGACACAAACACACUCUCAUAGACACACACACACUCUCUCGUAUUCGCAGUACGUUGUACGGCGAGCGCAGGCAGCAGUGGCGCCUGAAUUAUUGAAAUAGCAAAGCGUGGCCAAAAACAAUCAACACAGAGAGAGGUCCGGGCGGGACACGCUCGCACACACACACACUGUAUACACACACAUACACUCUGCACACACACACACCCCGUACACACACACACCGCACACACACACACCGCACACACACACCGUACACUCGCUGCGGCCCCUUCUGUCGUGAGGCUGAUGGUGCUACUGAUACUAACGAUGCUGCUACUGAUGCUGCUGUUACUGAUGCUGCUGAUGUUGCUGCUGCUCAUAAAUAUGAUGAUGCUACUGACGAUGUUACUGAUGGUGCUGCUGCGACUGAUGAUGCUGCUGAUGUUUUCUGCUCCUGUGGCGACUAAUGACGAUGACUGAUGAUGCUGCUGGUGCUAGAGAUGAUGAUAUGCUGCUGCGACUGCCGGUGCUUCUGAUGUUGAUAUUGUUGCUACCGCUGCGACGAAUGAUGCUGCUCCUGAUGAUGCUGCUGCUGAUGUUGCUACUACUGCUGCCACGAAUGAUGAGGAUGCUGCUGCUGCUCCUGAUGCUGCUGCUCCGGAUGAUGAUGAUGCUGCUGCGGAUGAUGAUGCUGCUGCUGCGCACACGCGGAGAACAGUGGCUCAGUGCGGGUACAGCUCCGCUAAAUCCCCACUGCUGCUGCUGCUGCAGAUGCUGCGCUCCAAGCACCAUGCCCGAGCUUUAGCGAGUCUCAAUCUCCUACCGCAUAUUCCAAACCCACGGUCCAUGGACUGCAUCGGUGCGAUCCACCACGCGGCAGUCGCGGCAGCCCACAGCCGCUGCAGUCAGCGGGCGACCGACAGCGGACGAAAGCGAAAUCUAAUCCGGAUGACGAAUCAAUGUAUCCGUAGAGAAGCGCAGACUCCGACCCACCACGGCCACCAGGCGGCUGGUACCACGCGCACAGCACGAGGGGCUGCUACACGCGCGCACUCUUAAACAGCUCCUCGUCUGGCUGGCCGGGACGAAGAGCGCGCACGACACGAGGAGUCAUGCUCGUGUCGCGGGCGGGCGUGCGGCCACCGCUACCACGCGCCGCCACUACGGCACAACAACAACAGCAGCACACGACAGCGGUGGAGGCCGAGGUGGCCACGGUGACGGUGCCGCAAUCUUUGGAAGAACGUAAUCAACCAGUCACUUGCGGAGACAAGGUUGCUCACCGCAGAAGACCUUCCCGGAGGAGACGCGCGACGGCUGUUUGUGUGGUGCCGCCGUGACGGAGCAGCUCCGUCGGGGGCCCCUUACCGCCGUGACACCACCACCAGGGGGUGACAACCCACCCCCCCUCCGCACGAACGCACACACACCUCGUGUAGAGCCGGGAGGGAAGGUCACCUGGCCGACGGGUUUUUAUUCAGAAGCCCCUAAUGGGAUCAAGCUUCAUGGUUUUCUGCGGCCGGGAAAUUGGGUGAUCUUCCCCCGUGGCUGACAUGCACCGUGGCGCCGUGACCUGAUAUUAAAGUUACGUGGUCACGGCAGAGGCCGUUGAGCCACCGCGAGUAAAACCGCACACACACAAGCACGAGUCAGGAGGCCAAGGGGGUGCGGAUCGGAAUGCCUUUGUUAGGAUCAGGGAUCUAGAUAACAAAGGGAUAAGAAUAGCCGACAUCUGAAUGGACAGGGCGGCACGAGGCAGGGGAACAGCGAUACGCCUUUGUCAGGUAGAAUUAGGGACCCCAAUAAGAACGGGACUGGAGCAUUCCGAAAUCUGAAUGGACAAGGCAGCACGGAGCGUGAGAACAGCGGAACGCUUUUGUUACAGGUAAGAUUACGGAUCCGAAUGUGAAAGAGACGAGAAUAACUCGGCCUCUGAAUGGACAGGGCAAGCACGGGUGUGGAAGCAUCUGAAUACCUUUUGUUCUAGAUAAGGUCACAGAUCCGAAUAUGAAAGGCAAGGGCGAGCAAGUGCAGGAUGUGCGAUACCUUUUGUGAUAGGUAGGAUAAAAACGCAGAGGCUUAGAGUAGCGAGACAAGAGUUCUUCUUCAAUAUCAUCGUGGUCCACGGAGCAGGGGAGCCAGCCGUUCGAGACGUCCGUGUGACGAGCUUCAGCGCAGCCAGGCUCAACCCUCUAUGGAGACGACCCGCAGCCUCGCCCUUCUACAUCCGUCAGCGCAGCAGAGUGGAAGUAAGCGUGAGUAAGAGAGAGAGGUAAGUUGGAGGCUAUUUAAUGGAGGGUAGAAAGUGGAGCGAUAGGCAGGGUGAAUUGAGCCUAGGAUUCCCGAAGGAUAGGCUAGGGGGCCUGCUGACUCACACAAUCACACGUAGUUAACGGGUUACUCGCGGUUAAUAAAAUAACUGGUAGGGGGACAAACUGGGUCGUGUGGUCUUUUGGAGGGUGAAGAGAAGGGUGGAGAGUGUUUUGUGUUCGCGCGCAUACGCGGCUGUUUACGGUGGUGUUUAGCGCUCGCGUACCCGUACGACCGAUUACGGCAGUCCUUAGCGUGCGCGUGCCUACGCGGCUGUUUACGGUGGUGGUUAGCGCUUGCGUACCCGUGCGGCUGUUUGCGGCGAAUAAGGGAGUGUAGCGCUUAGCGCUCGCGUGCCUGUGCGACUGUGUUGCGGUCGCGUGUCUGCGCGAUUGCCUAUAGCGAGGUAGCGAGCUAAGCGCCUGACGUGCGCGUAUUCACACGACUGUUUAAACGGCCCUUUAAAUCGGAGCGGAGCGACUCCCCCCAAUCCGCAGCACGCGCACGGCAGACGCCCCUGGCCCCCCACCCCCGACUCCCCACUCCCUCGCGUGUGAUUGGUGCCCGGGGCUCGGCAGGGAGCAGCAUCGAAGUUGUUAUUGCCUGAGCGCGUAGAGCAUGUGUGUGAGGGAAUCAUGUAUUGGCGCGCCGCACCUGUUCGUUCACGUGCGGGACGGGGUUUUACUUUGCGAGCACGCUCACCGCAGCACGCCACCGAUCUCGCGUAGCGCGCCGUAAGCGCAAAGCGUACGAGUCGCCAAUUGAAACAUGCCCACGCGGGCAGCCGCAAAGUCGGGGGCGCAAGAGGGCGAAGAAUUAGGGGUUGGUAGCCCGGACGUCACAGAACAGCCGGGGGGUAGUGGGACGAAUUUAGCGGGGGAGUCGGGGGACCACGGCCCCGACAAUUCGGUGAUGGCGGGGGAUGGUAGCCCCCACAUUUGCACACCCAGCUACUCUCUCAGCUGUUGGUCACGACCGUGCGACGUGCCAGACAAGAGUGGUGAUGAACAGUUUCUCUGCUGACGAGCUGCGAGCGCUGGGCCUGCGUGGUCCCUGCACACCCCUUCUGCAAUUCGGGUCUGGCGUACAGACCACCUGCAAGCUUUUAAUCCAGAAGGCGAUGGCGAGCUGGUAGCGUGCUGAUGCGAGAAUGCCAAGCACACUCCCGCUGUGGACUGACUUGACAGGCAGACAGCCCCGAGUGGAUGCCAAGCUGUAGGCUCGCAACAUCCAAGACUACCAAUCAAUGCUCCCUCGUGGGGCCCGAGGUAUUUUCGGUACAGAGAAGAACAGAAGACUGACUCUUACACACACACCACGUGACCAUACCGCUUGCUUGUGGUGACACGAUCCUUAUGCAAGGAUCACACAUAGACGAACUUACGCCACACUAUGCGUUAUAACUAGCGCAAUUGGCAUGAUUGCCCCCGACACACACACAACACGCAUAUCAGUGCGAAUAUUGGUUUUGAGGUGUUAACUGUUUAAUUUUAAUCUUGCAAUUCGAUUGGUGGCAUGCUGUGUUAACCAUUCGAAAGCAUUGCGUUUUUAUUAACCUGUACGCGUGCAUAAAUAUGGUUGUUUAGAGGCGCUAGCCGUUGUUUUCUUGAUCGCAUCGUCUAAUGAUUGGUGGCUGCUGUGUUAACCCUUUGAUAAGCAUUGUGUUUUCCUGUGCGUAUGCAAGGAAAUUGUUGUUUAGAUGCGAGCCAUUGUAUGUUAAUCACGUAAUCGUCCGACUCGAUCGUUGAUGUUUCCCUAACCAGUUUAGAAGUCAUUUACCCACACAUUCGGAACGAAUACUGCCAUUUUGCGGCUUUGCCUAUUGUUCUGAUCACGUGAUCAUGUGAUCUGACCAUUAAUGCUUUUAUGAUCAUCCAGUACGGAUUGCUGAGUUACGUAUUUUUGCAUGGGCACUGUUGUCGGUAUUCUGAUGAUAAGGGCUUGAUGUCAGAGUAAGUGAGAUUGAAGUUGCUUAGAUUAAAACAGGUUUCUGAGUG